ACUACAUGCCGUUACGUAUGUUCUCUUCCGGGAAGCUCGAGCCUACCGGUAAAGAUGGCACCAGGCGCAACUCCUGUGACGGAGUCAGAAAAAGACCUUAAAGUGUUUAAAUCUAAAGAAGUUACGAUAUCUUUACCGAAACACUCCUACUGGUAUGACUUUUGGAUGUUCGUGCUCUUUGACAUCGUUUUUUUCCUUGUCAUGUAUUUCAUUGUCCCGUAGAAAGGGUUGUCUCCUGGACUCGGGAGUCUGAAGACAAUGGAGUGUUGGUCCUGCCCUACUGUUAGGAAUGCUAUCACAUAUGGAUAUCACAUCCCAGGUUUCCGCGCCUAAGACCAUGGAGCUGCAAGUUUCAUACAUGUGGCAUCCUGCUUUGACAUGAGAGAUUUGUCCAACAGAGCUCCUUCCCUCGGGGACCUGUUGCCAGUUGCUGUGGUCUUUCUGCAUGGAUGGAGCCACGUUGUUGCCGUGGGCAGGAGAUUAACUAUCUAAUUCUUUUUUUUUAAUUAAGUGACAAUGGCUAUCUUCUGAUCCAGUGUGAGGGUUCUGAUAACAGGGGAGAAACAACAGCUUGAUAUUGUGGAAUUUAAUUUCAGCACAUGAAAAUCGUUUGCACAUGGUAAAUAAAAUGUUUUACCUACCUUCUAAA